CAAGUACCGUGAGGGAAAGUUGCAAAGAACUUUGAAGAGAGAGUUCAAGAGAACGUGAAAUCCUAGCGGUUGAAGCGGAGAGAGUUGACGUAGCUCGGCGGCUAAGCUUAGUGUUGUCUUUUCGGAGGCUUCGCUUUGUGGUGUCCGCUUAUAGCUGCGCCGGUAGCGUUGUUCGAGCUUUCUGACCUGGUUAGUGUUGCCCACUUCGGUGGUGUCUUGCUGCCGGCGAGGUCUGCCGUAUUAACGUUUAAUUUGCCUUACGGCAAGUACCGGUGUGAAGGUCAGCCACCUUUCCGACCCGUCUUGAAACACGGACCGAGGAGUGUAACUUGUACGCGAGUCAGAGGGUGGAAAACCCUACGGCGCAAUGAAAGUAAAGGUCGGUUAACCGGCUGACAUGGGAUCCGUGCUUCGGCGCGGCGCACCAUGGCCCUGUCUUGAGAGCUUGCUCUUGGGCAGAGGUAGAGCGUACAGGUUGCGACCCGAAAGAUGGUGAACUAUACUUGAGCAGGACGAAGCCAGAGGAAACUCUGGUGGAAGUCCGUAUCGGUUCUGACGUGCAAAUCGAUCGAUAGACUUGAGUAUAGGGGCGAAAGACUAAUCGAACCAUCUAGUAGCUGGUUCCUUCCGA
rnacentral:rRNA from 1 species